ACAUAUACUUGUGUUACUGCGCGGCCUCGUACGUUCUCGCGCUGCUGCGCUCCGACGAGCGAGCAAGCCAAACCUUCCGGGUGCAGUGCUUAUAUCUGCGCUAUUGACGCUGUGUGUGCUCGCGACUGCCGUUACGCAAUGUCCAUUUAGAGACUGUGCUGUUAUCUCGAAAGAUUUCGUCUGUACUUGUAUAUUAAUCAAGUAUGCGGUCCAGUGCCGAAUUAUACCCCUUGUCGUUCCUUUCGUCGCACGUGUCAGAUAACACGCGCAGUCGUAAGGCCGUCAGACCUUUUGCAAGACCCCAAGUCAGCUUCUUCACUUUUUCCACAAAAAAGAGCGAGCCACCAAAAGAUUUGGAUUAAACAUACAAUUUUAGCUUUGCGGACAAAGAAAAUUCAAGACCCAGAAGUCCGCAACGGCGACAUCGAUAAGCUCCACGGUACGAACGUAUUUACCCAGUAGGUAGCUCUUGCGGUUGAUCAUCAAGCAACCUCGAUGCGCUCGAGACGAUCCCGACAAAGGAAAUAUGUUCAUGGUUAAGCGGACGAUUCUCCGCACUCGCGGAAACGACACCACUGCGACGUGCUAAACCGCCACAACCGAGAUCAACGAAGUAGCUAUGCGGAAUCCUUUUGGACUUAAUGAAAAUGCUUGUGUUUAGACUUUCAAAGUCAAUAAAAAAUUCAAAUUUCGCGCCACAAUAAAGGAGAUAACUCUAAAGUCCAUUUGCCUCUUGUAAAUAAAAAUCGAAUGGAACGAAAAAUAUCUUACCGAUACACUGACAGAAAUGCCCUUUAAAGCCAAAAGAAAAGAAUCUUGAAUAUGCUAUCAAAAGGAAAAAUCGUUUUGGAAUCACGAUAUUCCUAAUCAUUUAAAUGGAUUCUGUUUACUUUCACUAGAAUCAUUUUGAUCAAACUUUUUACAUAAAAUUUGGUAUUUUUUAUGGGAUAUAGAAAUCUUAAAGAAUAAAAAAUAAAUAUCCCAUAGGAUAUAGAAACUAAAAAGAAAAUCCUUUUGGCAGUAUGCAAAGAUAUUGCAAUAACGUAAAUUAUUAUAAACUUGAAACUAUGUGCAUAAUGAUGAUCGAUUACACAGUAAAACUAUAUGGCAUAGUAUAUUCCACUACGAUUUUUACGAUUUGUCAAAAUAAUUAUUUUUAUCAUUUAUUUAUAAUUAUAAUUAUCUUUAGGAUCGAAAUUUAAAAAUCAACUUUGAGACCUCGUGAUAAUUUUAAUGCUUGCCGUUUACUCGCUGGUGCGUCACAUUUUUAUUAUCCUACAUGUUUCUCUAAGCAAAAAAUAUUAAGUGAUUCUGUAAUAAAUUCUCAAAAAAACAAAUGUUUCACGAAAAUGCGUUAUAUUCAAAAAAGGUACAAUCUCUAGCGAUAUUAUUAAAAAGCGCUAUUUCGCGAAACAAAAUUAGCAUGUUUUUCAACGCAUAUCCAGCUGUCCAAGGAGGAAAAAAA